UACAAGGAGGAAUUAUUGCACUGGGCACUGAUAUAUAUUAUGAGUGACAACGCAUCUAUGGUGGGCCUCAGAAACCCAUCGUGACUGAUUUG
rnacentral:snoRNA from 1 species